AUGUAUUCAGCGAUGGCGUCUGUCAACAAGAGGCGACCACAUCCUGAGCUGCUGAAAUGCCACAUCUCAGAGAUCAUCUCUCCACGUGAUGAAUAUGGAACUUCCAGCUGCACAUCAAGCUCGACUGAGGACACGGCCGGCGAAAGAAAAGAGAAAACAAGAAAUAACACAAGCCUGAAGGAGUUCUGCCAUGAUGUGGAGUUGUUAAUGCUAACAGUUAGCUCCUACAUGGCGGAAACAUGCUCUGCUCUCUCCUGGAUGCUAAAUCAACACAGAGUUCCCUGUCUCAAACCAAGAUGGGUAAGUCCUAGAAUGCAGGAAACUGGGGUGGAGGAGCGUCUUUCUGAUCAGUCAGCAUGUGAAACUCAGAGUAACGAUCAUAGUUUUAAAAUAGCAAGUAAAAAAUGGCAUCUCUGUGAAGUUGUUCUUUGA
rnacentral:lncRNA from 1 species